rnacentral:rRNA from 1 species
UACAGAGGCCUCGAGCGUUAGGCGGAAUCACUGGGCUUAAAGCGUGUGUAGGCGGAUCGGUAAGUACCUUGUGAAAUCCCACGGCUUAACUGUGGAACUGCUGGGUAUACUGCCAGUCUUGAGCCACUCAGGGGCUACCGGAACAAAUGGUGGAGCGGUGAAAUGCGCAGAUAUCAGGAGGAACACCGAUGGCGAAGGCAGCUCGCUGGGACGGUACUGACGCUGAGGCGCGAAAGCGUGGGGAGCAAACAGG